GACGUAGGGCGCGAGCGUUGUCCGGAUUUAUUGGGCGUAAAGAGCUCGUAGGCGGCUUGUCGCGUCGACCGUGAAAACUUGGGGCUCAACCCCAAGCCUGCGGUCGAUACGGGCGGACUAGAGUUCGGUAGGGGAGACUGGAAUUCCUGGUGUAGCGGUGAAAUGCGCAGAUAUCAGGAGGAACACCGGUGGCGAAGGCGGGUCUCUGGGCCGAUACUGACGCUGAGGAGCGAAAGCGUGGGGAGCGAACAGG
rnacentral:rRNA from 1 species